UUCCCAAAGUGCAAAUAUCGAACAUGAACAACAAACAACCGAUUUUUCGUUUUUGUUCAUAAUAUGUUGCUCGAAAAAAAAAAAAUUUGACCCCACAAUUCGAAUGGUCUGGGUCCGCCCCUGAAAACUUAUUCAAAUACCAUUAUCAAAAAUCUGAAUCUAAAUCUGAGGCCCCCAAUUCCAAAUUAUUGCAAACCUACCAAAUAACACAAAAAGCAUAAAUCUUGCAAAAGGUCAACUCACAUCCUAAUAGGAUUUACUUGACAGCAAUACCAAGCCAUUACAAAGAAACAUUCUCAAUUUCGAUAAAUGUAAGUUUCAGAAGAAACAAAAAACACAUAGGAAUGAGAUUAUUGAAUCGAAUUCUAUAAUUGGACGAUUCAGCCUGAAAUGCUUGCAGAAUUCAAACAGUAGAAUCAAAUACCUUGGCGGCGUUGAAAGCUUCUUCGGAUUUCUGGAGAGUGUACGUUUUCUUGUUUUCGUAAGAGACAGAAGUCAUUCGGAUAAUUGUACGAGGAUGCUUGUGUAGAUUUUGACUGAGACAUGUUAACCCACCUACUACACCACCUGUAAUUGAAGCAGCCAUAGCCGUACACACUCCCCCCCUCUCUCUCUCUCUCUCUCUCUCACACACACACACACUCACUCACACACAAAACACGCAGUUGGGUAUAUCAAUUUCUCACAGCAGAGAAUUGUCCGACAAAGGGAUAAGAAAUUGAGAUAAGAGCGUCGUUCUUCAAUCAAUCCCAACCACCUUUGAAAUUACAGUCGUGCAAUUUUCUGUCAGGGCUCGGCUCAAAUAAUUUUCAAGGAUUCUAAUGGGCCUAGCCCGUCAAAAGCAAGAGAAAGAGAACUGGACCAAAAUAUUCCAAUUGUGACCUUGUUUGUCACAAAUUUCUUUGAAGAAAUUACAAAAAAUCAAGUAUUAAAACUUUCAAAUUCAAAAUUCGGGGGUAGAGUUUAUUGAUGCAAAAAUCAGGUAUCAUAUAUAAUUAACCCACCAAAUUCAAUUAAAAAC
rnacentral:lncRNA from 1 species